rnacentral:snRNA from 1 species
AAAUAUGUAAGGGCAAUUUGGUAGUGAUACCUGUCACUCCAUUGAUUGCCAGGAUUGAUUCAGCUGCUCUGGUUGGCUAGGCAAGUAUCACCUUCCUCUCCCAUUGCUCUAUGUGCAUCUCUCCUGAUGUUGCAUGUUCAGUGGAAGAGGAUAACCAUCCUAGAUAGGAGUGUAUGGGUCUUUGGACAAGAGUAUAUGAUAACUGUAACCUCCUACUAGAAUCUCCAACAGUAUUCAGGUUUCUCUUCAGAUAAUAUAACUAGCAAAAAUGAAUUCCUUUGUACAUACUGAACUGU